UUUUGACCAACUGCAUCAUUGUCGAAGUUCUGCCGCUUUUCAUGUGCUUUAAAGGCGACUCCAAUCUAUGUCUUGAAAUGUUUCCUGCAAUUCUGCCUUGGUUUCAAAUCCUCUUCGUUGCCUUACCUCAAUAUAUUUUUGGAUGAUAGUUGUCCUUUAGAACUCCGCAGGUUUGUGAAUUGCAGUGCCCAUGAACUCCAUUUUUCAACUCGCUUUUUUGUGAGCUGGCUGCAAAACCUCAGGAUUGCUUCAGGCCCUAUUGUGGUUCCCGGGCUGCAGGCUGAGCGUUUGGUUACUUCUUCUUCCUGAUUGGAAAUUAGAGUGAUAUGUGCCUAUCUAAACACGUACAACUAGUCUCUCAUUGGUUCCCCCGCAUCCCGUUCAUCCUCCGGACAAAUUGCAAACUGUGCGAAACAGGAGGUUAAAUGUGCUGAUUCUCCAAGGGAGGAGAUUGUGAGUUAAGCGGCUGGAAUGGCGAACCCAAGCACCAGGAGAGGAUAAAUGAGCUACGUAACUCUUCCGGAGUUGUUGCAACUGGCCUUAUUUCAUUGAUUUCCGGGCUGAGUAAUAUUCCACUCCACGAAAUCGGGUCUGAAGUGCCGGGUGUGGGACCUCUGCAUGCGGAACCCUAGGAGCACGUGAGAUUAGACAAAGCACAAAGGAAAAAAAGGAGUUGCCAGGCUGCCACCUCCUAAAGAAGAGGAUGUGUCACCCAUACCUGCCGCUGGAAUUUCUCCCCGGGCAGAGGUGAGGAAGGAAAAAAGCAGUGGGGGCCGGGACGGGAGGGUUACCUCAGGGAAAUGGAAAGCUUCCAGAAGAGCGCCCGGGGCCAGGACCAUCCUGGCUGGCCUGCAGGCACCAAGUUGGCCGGCGUGCUGUCGCUGGUGUGGCUCCACGGCCCUUCCUCUAGGCUUUCAAGUCCUUGUACACAUUCAGGUGUUUUACCUGGGAAGGGUGGGAACAGUUCAGCAGCAUCUACUUGGG